CCGUUCCCAUCCCCCAGAUUUUUUCGGGUGGGGGAGGGGGCGCGUCUCGGCGAGUCACGUUGAUGGCGGCCACCAGCCUGUGGUGAGCUAGCGGAUUCUCUGCUUGUCUCGCAGAGCCCCUCGUGCCUCCUGCAGACUCAGUGGCCGGCGCCGGGCGCGUGAGGAAGCACGGCGGCCAGAACUCGCGAGGAAGGCCGCAGUCGCGGAGGGAGCGGCGCGGCCCGGGCCCAGGGCUGGGGGAGAGGCCGCUCCGCAGGGCGAAUGUGACAAACCCCCACCCCCACCGCCUUCCUCCCUAGUGCGCGAGGAGCGCGGGCGACCCCGGGGCCCCGCCAGGCCACAGACCCCGCCCAGCGGCCAGCACCCGGAGCAGGCCCGGCAGCGGAGCUGCGCCCCGGCACCAUGCUGGUCACCCUGAAGACCCUCCAGCAGCAGACCUUCAAGAUCGACAUCGACCCCGACGAGACGGUGAAGGCACUGAAAGAGAAGAUUGAAUCUGAAAAGGGGAAAGAUGCCUUUCCUGUAGCAGGUCAAAAAUUAAUUUAUGCAGGCAAAAUCCUCAAUGAUGAUACUGCUCUAAAAGAAUAUAAAAUUGACGAAAAAAACUUCGUGGUGGUUAUGGUGACAAAACCCAAAGCAGUGACAACACCAGCACCAGCUACAACCCAGCAGUCAAAUCCUGCCACCACUACCACAGUUAGCUCCUCCACAGCUCCAGCUGUGGCUCAGGCCCCAGCCCCUGCGCCCACUCUGGCUCCCACUCCUUCCCCUGCAUCCGUCACUCCAGCACCAACGACAGCAUCUUCUGAACCUGCACCUGCUAGUGCGGCGCAACCAGAGAAGCCUGCAGAAAAGCCAGCAGAGACCCCUGUGGCCACGAGUCCAACAGCAACUGACAGUUUUCUAAAAACCUUUUGCAGUACAUCAGGAGAUUCUUCUCGGUCGAACCUUUUUGAAGAUGCAACAAGUGCACUUGUGACAGGUCAGUCUUACGAGAAUAUGGUAACUGAGAUCAUGUCGAUGGGAUAUGAACGAGAGCAAGUGAUCGCAGCCCUGAGAGCCAGUUUCAACAACCCCGACAGAGCAGUGGAGUAUCUUUUAAUGGGGAUCCCCGGAGAUAGAGAGAGUCAGGCUGUGGUGGACACCCCUCCUGCGGUCAGCACUGGGGCUCCUCCGUCUUCGGUGGCGGCCGCUGCGGCGACGACGACGGCAUCGACAACCACAGCGAGCCCUGGAGGACAUCCCCUUGAAUUUUUACGGAAUCAGCCUCAGUUUCAACAGAUGAGACAAAUUAUUCAACAGAAUCCUUCCCUGCUUCCAGCAUUGCUACAACAGAUAGGUCGGGAAAAUCCUCAAUUACUGCAGCAAAUUAGCCAGCACCAGGAGCAUUUUAUUCAGAUGUUAAAUGAACCAGUUCAAGAAGCUGGUGGUCAAGGAGGAGGGGGUGGAGGUGGCAGUGGAGGAAUUGCAGAAGCCGGAAGUGGUCAUAUGAACUACAUUCAAGUAACGCCUCAGGAAAAAGAAGCUAUAGAAAGGCAUAUUUGUGUCUUUGAAUCUAAAGUGUGUGCCUUGUAGAAGCAUAUAAUUGGAUCGUGCCCUAUCUACCUUUUACUUCAGCUAGCCCAGCUUUAAUCUGGACAAGACCUAGUUAAAGGCACUAGGAUUUCCUGAAGGACUUGUGAUACAAGCGUAUUUUGCUUGUGAGAAGAAUGAGAACUUGGCUGCCAAUUUUCUUCUACAGCAAAACUUUGAUGAAGAUUGAAAGGGACUUUUUUUUUAUCUCACACUUCACACCAGUGCAUUACACUAACUUUGUUCACUGGAUUGUCUGGGAUGACUUGGGCUCAUAUCCACAAUACUUGGUAUAAGGUAGUAGAUUGUUGGGGGUGGGGAGGGAGGGAUCUAGGAUAUAGGGCAGGGAUAAAUACAGUGCAUGUCUGCUUCAAUUAGCAGAUGCCGCAAAUCCACACAGUGUGUAAAAUAUUAUACAACCAAAAAUCAGCUUUUGCAGGUCUUUAUUUCUUCUUUAAAACAGUAGGUAACUUUUCCUAGGUUUCACUCUUUUUAGUGUACUAGAUCCAGAAAUUUAGUGUAAUGCCCUGCUUUAUAUUUCUUUGACUUAACUUUGGUUUCAGAGAGAAUCUUUGCUACCUAGAAUUUACAGUCUCUAUUUCGUGGCAACACUGGAUAAUGGCUUUGUGAAAUUGGAAAAAGUUUGGAGCAACUGUAAGCAGAAAUGCCAAAUUAUUGAUGGUUAUUGCUGCUGCUCAAAUACAUAUUGAAUUGAUGUGUAAGAAAGCCCAUUCUUUCAUGUUAAAUACUUGCGGUGGGGGAGGAAGAAGGGGAACCUUUUCUUAAAAUGAAAAUAAUUACUGCGAUUUUAAAAUUUCUUGAUCAUCGAAUGUGAGACCCUUCGGACAUGAUUUGAGAAGCUGUACAAGUAUAGGCAGAGUUAUUUUCCUGUUUACAUUUUUUUUUUUUGGUUUGUUUUGGGAAGAAAUUGGUAGGUGUCUAAUUACUGUUUACUUCAUUGUUACAUUGCAGUAAAAGUUUUAAAGCCACCAUCGCAUGUUUGCUUUUGAUGUAUCCCUUUGUAAAAUUAGCACUUUGGGGCCAAUGGAGAAAUGCAGCAUUCACUAUCCCUCUCUUCCCCAUCCCUCUGCAGAAAUGUGUUUGUCAGUAAGUCGUGAGUUCAAAUUGCUGCCUUUUUUAAACCCACAAAAUGCUGAUUCAGUUCAAAAGAAAUGCAAAUGUUCCAAAACUGGGUUUCUGAUAUUUGUAAGUGUUUUUCCUUAUUAGAUAAGAAUGUAUGACCAUUAAAGUCAUUAGGAUUAUAUUACUUUCAAAAAGAGGAGGUGGACAAAAGUAUAAUCCAGCAUCUUUUAUUGCAUUGGAAAGACUGGCGGAAUCUUCUGGAAGGGUUGGGAGAUGCAGCUGGAAAAGUACUUUGGAAAAUAUACAAUCAAGAAUAUCUCAUGGCAUAUUAAAAAAAAAAUCUUAAUAGCAGUGUUGGCGUUUAUUUGGAUUUUUUUCAACUCUGUUUUUUAUUAGAAUCUCCUUCAUUGGCAUUACUAUUUGAUCGUAAAGAGGGGGAAUAUGUCUACUUGUUCAGUUUUUCAGAUCUUUUUUCCUCAAUAUAAACAAGACUGUUUAAAGGAAUUAUUUUUUCCCCUACCAUCUGAUACUGAGUAAAGAAAAUGAAUUUGCACAGAUUUCUCCCUGCGUAAUCUCUUGCAAUAAUCCUUAGCAGACUUUGGGGAUGACUUUUAAGCUUUCAUGUCAUGCACUCGUACCUGUCUCUCAUGAAAAUAAAUGAGACCAUGGUUUCUCCCCACAGUGUUAUCAUGUAGUUUAAUCUUCAUGUGUGUACUCCUUAAACACGGCACACCUUUGGACUUUGUAUUACCUGUAUGUUUUAUAAUGGAUCAUGCAAAAUGUCUCAGGAGAAUAAAACGAGCAUUUGUAAAUAUGUUCCUCCUUCAAGACAGAGCAAUGAGUUGGGAAGAGGGUGGCAUUUCUGGUCGAAUAAUGGAAUAUUUUCACUUAUUUUAUGUCAUUCUGUCUGCUACCUAAUUGAUCAGUAUAGCGAAAACUGGAAAAAAAAAAAAACAAAAAAACCCAACACAAAAAACCCCCAGCAGCAGCCUCUUUUCUCUGGAAAGUGACAGCAGAAGUUGAUGGCACGGCGUUUUUGUCCUCAGACAACAAAACCACAAAUAGUGGGAUUAAUCAUUACAAGAAAACAGUUGAGGCCAAGUUUUGAUCAUUCUUUACCUUGUUCUAUCUGCUUAAAGAAUUAGCCAAGACGCUGUGAAAAAAAUAGGCUUUUUGUGACCUUUUGCUGUUACCUUUUAAUUUACAAACAGUUUUGGUAAAUCUUUUAAUGUAAUUGGCUCUUUGAUUUUGGAAUUUUUACGUUUGAGGUAUUCUGUCAUCUAUUUCUUGAAAUAUUUUUAUUGUUUAGUUGCUCUAUGGAAAAUGUGAGGAAGCUUGAGUUUAUAUUUGUUAAAUUCUUAUUGCCAUCCUCUAGUCAAAUAUGUCUUUACAUUGUUUAAAAAUACUGAAGUGUUCCACCCUAUAAUUUUUUCCUGUACUACAUGGCUAGGAUUCUAGAGAAUUAAUUAUAAAAUAUUUUCAACAUA